AGUGAACGCUGGCGGUAGGCCUAACACAUGCAAGUCGAACGGCAGCACAGUAAGAGCUUGCUCUUACGGGUGGCGAGUGGCGGACGGGUGAGGAAUACAUCGGAAUCUACUUUUUCGUGGGGGAUAACGUAGGGAAACUUACGCUAAUACCGCAUACGACCUACGGGUGAAAGCAGGGGAUCUUCGGACCUUGCGCGAUUGAAUGAGCCGAUGUCGGAUUAGCUAGUUGGCGGGGUAAAGGCCCACCAAGGCGACGAUCCGUAGCUGGUCUGAGAGGAUGAUCAGCCACACUGAACUGAGACACGGUCCAGACUCCUACGGGAGGCAGCAGUGGGGAAUAUUGGACAAUGGGCGCAAGCCUGAUCCAGCCAUACCGCGUGGGUGAAGAAGGCCUUCGGGUUGUAAAGCCCUUUUGUUGGGAAAGAAAAGCAGCAGGUUAAUACCCCGCUGUUCUGACGGUACCCAAAGGAUAAGCACCGGCUAACUUCGUG
rnacentral:rRNA from 1 species